rnacentral:rRNA from 1 species
CACGCCGUAAACGAUGAGCACUAGGUGUCGGGGCCGCAAGGCUUCGGUGCCGCAGUUAACGCAUUAAGUGCUCCGCCUGGGGAGUACGCACGCAAGUGUGAAACUCAAAGGAAUUGACGGGGACCCGCACAAGCAGCGGAGCAUGUGGUUUAAUUCGAAGCAACGCGAAGAACCUUACCAGGACUUGACAUCCUACUGACAGACCCGUAACGGGGUCCUUCUUCGGACAGUAGAGACAGGUGG